AAUGAAUUUUCUGUUAUAGACUUCUUGCUAAAAGUUGUUUGGGAUUUACCGCAAAUGUUGCAGCUUCUGAUAAAAAGUUCUUUAACAGCUUUGUCGUUGUGUGACUUUUAUAUUAAUAAUAUUGAUAUUUUAAGGAGGUUGUAAGGCUGAGUCAUCACGCAAGUUCCUGCCGAAGUUGAUAAACAUAAGAUUAAGUAAUCCAUUUGUUGUAGCCUUUCAGAAGGCCUUCACGGUCUCCAUAAUUACGGAUGAUCUCGGCUUUGACUGUUGCUUUGGAAAAGAGGUUUCCGAUUGCAGUAGCCCGUCCUGGAGCAAUUCCUGUGAUGGGUGUGACCCAGCCUUUGGUUCCUGACUACCUGCCAUGUAAAACGAGGCGAGUAAUUGCAUCAGAAGGAAGAGUAGGAGAAUUAAUAUAUGCCGAUACGUGUUGAAUCCCUGCUUAUGUAUCCAGUAAAGGAAGAUGAAGGUGCUAAUAGCAGCCAAACCUACACCUAGACUAUGGCCAAAGCAAAGAUGCACAUUUAAUCCCUGCACUCUGAAAUGAAGAUACGUGAAUAUUGAGGACCAAAAUGCACAGAAUAUUACAGUUAUGACUACGAAGCAAGAUAAAACUAAAUUUCUAAGCAACUGGGAUUUACAUAUGCCUUCUGACUACAAACAUCACAAGAACUGAGAUAUCUGAUACUUGGGGCAGUACAGAUGAACAUAAACUUGAACAGAUUAUAUACAUACUGGUAAUUUCUCUACUUAGCAGCCUUAUGAAAUUACAAUUAGCCAGAUUUGCAGUAGUACUUCCAAAGUGGAUUAUCUGAAGUUUAUCCAUAAGAAAUUCAUAACCCUUCAGAAGCAGACCCUCGUAACUUUCCAACAUCUUAAGUGUGGAUUUUUUUUUGGGGUGGGGGGAUCUUCUGACCAUCUGAUGAACAAGUCUUGACCCUUCAAAGCUGAUCCUCAUAACUUUCCAACAUCCUAAAUUGUGUACUUGAAAGUGGGAGGGUUAUCGAUGGACCUCUGCAUGGAUGUGGAGUUUCAUCUCUGCAGAGGAACUCUUUGGCCAAGGACGAUCGAGAAACUGCUGUAAAGAAAAAAUCAUGGCUGUGUAAUGACCAUUUGAUGAACAAGUCUUGAACCCUUCAGAAGCUGAUCCUCAUAUCUUUCCAACAUCCUCAAGUGUGGAAUUAAUUAAAAUUGGGUGGGUUAUUGAUAAACCUCUGCAUGGAUGUGAAUUUCCAUCUUUGCAGAGGAACUCUUCCACGAAGGAAGAUCAGGAAGUUGCUGUAAAAAAAAAAAAUCAUGGCUGUGCAACAUUAUGGCAAAGGCAAUGCUACAUCUGCCUACCUACUCCGGGCCUCUUUCUUUCUCCUAAAAUGUGAAGCAAAAAACAAGGUCAUGCAACAUUGCAUGGCCACAAAUUCGUCCUUCCUUGGAGAACAUAUCUUCAGCUUAGUCAUCCGGAAACUGCAGUGGCAUUGCUGAAAAUGGCAUCCAGGAACUGUUCUUGAAGGAUGCUAGAAUGGUAGGAAUUACUUUGGACAAUGGAAGGAAGGGAAAAGAUGAUAUAAUCUGGGCAGAAGCAACACUGACAGCAGACGUAUGGUGGGGAAGGUACGUCCGUGGAAGACAUGAUUGUUGUUUGACUUCUGCAAAUCCAGUGACAAAAGGUAGGGGGAGAUGAAGUAACAUUUGAAGUUAUAUGAUGUUCACCAACCUGAACGGAGAUGAAGUAACAUUUGAAGUUAUAUGAUACACACCAACCUGAAACAAAACGAAUGGCUGAACCUCUGAUGGUGAGUCAUCUUUCUCCAGUCAAUGUGUUCUUCCAAUAAAGUCUCUAGAUCAAAAAGAAAGAAGACUGAGAAACUGCAAUACAGCAAAUCACGAAGAAAAAGAGUAAGAAGCGAAGGAACUUCAUCAAGGAAAGCUUUUCAGGACUUCUCAGCCUUCAAAAGAGGAAUGAAGGACCAAUGAUCUGGGCAGGAGCAGCACUGACAGUAGAUGUACAGUGGGGAGAAGCUUUUCAGGACUUCUCAUCCUCCAAAAAAGGAAUGAAGGACAAUGGAAGAACAAUGAUCUGGGCAGGAGAAGCAUUGAUAGCAGAGGCACAGUGGGGGGGUACAUCGGGGGAGGACAUGUUUGUGGUGUACGUACAGCAAAGAUGAAGGAGAAGGCUUGACCUCUGCAAAGAACAUCAAAAGCUAGGAGAGAUGAAAUAUCUCUUGAAGCUAUGGUACAGCAAUGUGGCACACAUACCUGAACCGUAAUGAUUAGCUGAACCGGGUUCAUUGCCGGGUCGUAUUUCUCCGGCUGCUCUUUAUUCUUCUACAUAAUAUCUUUAGAAGGGCAAGAAAGAAGACUGAUAAACUGUGAUACAACAUAUGAUGACGAAAAAAGAGUGAGGGAGGUGAAGGAACCUUAUCAAAGAAAGCUUUUCAGGACUUCUCAUCCUUCAAAGCAAGAAUGAAGGACAAUGGAAGAAUGACAAUCUAGGUGGGAACAGCACUGAUGGUAGGUGCACAACUGGGGACACUUGUGAUCUACAGCAAAGACAAAGAAGGCUUAACUUCAGAUCAUCCAUCGUAAGCUCCUCUUGGUGCUCCUUGAGAAGGUCAUUGAUGUCGUCCUCGUUGAUGACCAGCCCCAUGGACUUGCCGAGUGCAACGAUCUCGUCAAGAUCUGGUUGUGAAACAGUUUCAGGAUCGUCAACAGUUUCUGAAUCUGCAUCAGCUUCACCCACGUCGAAUCCCUCGAAAUCUCGGGCGGAUACAGCAUCAGGCCAGAGUUUCCUCCACGAAGAAUUCAAGGUUUGCCUCGAAACCUCCUGCCAAGCUUGGUCGAUGAGUCAGAUGCAUAAGAUAACAUCGAAACGCUCCUCCCAAAAUUCACGUAAGGGGAGGUUUGUGGUAUCUGUGAUGUCAAAACAUCUCUUGAAAAGAUUUUUCGUAUACAGCUUCUUUGAAGUUCGAUAUUACUUGCUGGUCCAUGGGCUGGAGGAGAGGGGUGGUGUAAGGCGGAAGAUAAAGAACCUUGAUAAAAGAAUACUUCGCUAGGAUAUCUUCCUCGAGGCCAGGAGGCUGAGCAGGGGCAUUGUCCAACACCAGCAGACAUUUCAGAGGGAGGCGCUUCUCUUUCAAGAAUUUCUUCACUGUCGGGCCGAAACACAGAUUUACCCACUCAGUGAACAAAAGUCUCGUUACCCAGGCUUUCGCAUUAGCCCUCCACAUCACUGGAAGCUUCUCCUUUAGCACUUUGUGGGCCUUGAAGGCUCGAGGAGUCUUCGAAUGAUACACAAGUAGGGGCUUCACCUUGCAAUCCCCACUAGCGUUCGAAUAAAGUGCGAGCGUAAGCCUGUCUUUCAUAGGCUUAUGCCCAGGUAGCUUCUUCUCUUCCUCCGUGAUGUACAUCCGACGAGGCAUUUUUUUCCAAAAAAGGCCAGUCUCAUCACAGUUGAAGACUUGUUGAGAACUGUUGCCUUUGUUGAUCGUCAUCUCAUCGAACACCUUAAUAAAGGCUUCGGCCGCUUUCAUGUCUGAGCUGGCAGCCUCCCCAUGCCGCACCACCGAAUGGAUGCCAGUCCGUUUCCGGAAUUUUUCAAACCACCCACGAGAAGCCUUGAAGUCUGGGGUUGGCGUCUAUGUCCCUUCUCCUCCAUCGUCUUCGGCCUGGGCAAUCAAAUCGCCGAAAAUAGCACUGGCCUUGUGACAGAUUGCCGUCUCGGUUAUCGUAUCGCCAGCGAUUUCUUUGUCUUUCAUCCAUUCAAGAAGCAGCCUCUCCAUCUAAUCGUGCACGUGGCUCCUCUUGUUGGACAAACUAGUCACGCCCUUGGAAGGUGUAGCUGCUUUGAUGGCUUCCCUCUCUUUAAGUAUGGUGCCUAUUGUUGACGGAUUUCGGCCGUAUUCCUUAGCGAUCACACACAACCACAUGCCAGCCUCAUACUUCUUAAUAAUCUCCAUUUUUGUCUCCAUAGAAAGCAUCCUCUUCUUUCUGUGAACUUCAGCAACUUUCUUGGGACCCAUGACUAUACGUACGUAAUAAAGUUACUAAUUAAGUUCUCACAAAACACGAUAAAGUACAAAGCGAAAUCACCAACACGAAUUUACGUUAACAAACGAAAUUGUAUAUGAACAAACGAAUUCCACGUGCUUACAAUAACAAUGCUGCUACGGAGUGACAGAAGAACGCCUUUGUGUAGAUGCACAAUGGGAGAGAUGCUGACCAAUAGGAGAGCAGGAUCUUACGGCGGUGACUAGCAUCAGGAACCAAUGGGAGAGCGGGAGGAUGGUGGCGAGUCUACUCGGUUGGUGGCGUGUGAAUUUAAAAUUGUUCUCGGUGGUCCGGGCAAAUCUCUGGACUUUACAGCAACAACCUUUCGUAACCUGAAUUAUUUUCGUAUGCAGAGGCAAAAAAAUCUUCGUAUUUGCUUUUGUAAAUUAAAUUUUUCGUAAGUUGGGACUUUCGUAUGUCGAGGUUCCACUGUAUAUACAAAAGUAGUAGAAUGCACCCACCAAUAACAUGUGAGGGGAAUAUGUGUAACAUAAGUAGGUCUACAAUGAGUAGCAACAAUGAAAUUAUCUUGAAAACAUUUACUUUAUAUUUUAGAGGGAAUACUUUCAUUUUCCUAUAUAACAAUAUUUCUUAAAUAUUUCAAAAAUUAUGGCAUACUAGCAAAUAUUCACCUAUGCCGAUAUUGAUCCAAGGCCUAGGUGUUAGAUUUCUUUACUUUACAUGUAACAUUCACAUCUCUCUAGUAUUAACAGUUUCUGGCCAGAAAGCAAAUGAAGUUAUCUACACAUUCUUCUUGCACUUCAAGUUACCGUAUGAAAGAAUAAACUAGACACCAAAAGUGAGCAGGACGACUUUUAAGAAAAUAAUAUUUUAAACCAGUUGAAAAACAAGUGUUCCAUAUGCCUUGAUAUUAAUACUAAUGAUAUUUCGAUUAAUAGCCAUUUUCUCCGUAUAAUCAAAAUCAUCAUCAUCAUCUUUUAUUCCUCAAAGAACAGGUAAUCUCUACAAAUAAAAACAUUAGUAACAGAUUACAUCUCAGAAGGCUUAGAUUUUUUUUUAGGCCUAUAAAUCAUUUUGCAACAUACAAGUAGCUUAAACACAGCCCAAAACUUCAACAUUUAAAGAAAACUAGUUGUAAUUCAUAUUCUAUUGUAUUCCUCAAAGAACAAGUAAUCUCUACAAAUAAGUUCAUUAGUAACAGAUUACAUCUCAGAAGGCUUAGAUUAUUAUUGUAGGCCUAUAAAAUAUUUUGCAACAUACAGGCAGCUUAAGCACAGCCAACAACUUCAACAUUCAAAGAAAGCUUGUUUUCAUUCAUAUUCCUACUUUGAAAAUGUUGAUAAGACUGUUGAGCUUAUUAGGCCUACUGUCAUAAUGCUGUAGCCAUAGUUAUGUUGACCAAUCCGAGGAGCAUGUUAAGUGUGCUUUCAUUGAUGGCACUGCUAACCUUAUCACACCACACUUUGAACUAAGCAACGUAAAAAAAAAAUCCGUUCAAAUCACAUAGAGUAUGAAUUACACCAAUGCAUAAAAGGGUUCAUAUUUAUAUAACCAUAAGGAAAAUAGGGCUAACUGGGAAUUUGCAAACUUUUAGACACAAGUAUGACAUUGGAAAUAGAAAAAAAAAAAUUAACACUACUUAGCAAUGUCAUGUUGAGUCUGAGAAUCUGGACGAUACAAAAAGAAUCAUGUCACACGAGAUUUGAGCACCACUGUACACUUACCUGUGCG